rnacentral:RNase_MRP_RNA from 1 species
GCUCGCUCUGAAGGCCUGUUUCCUAGGCUACACACGAGGGACUUGUUCCUUACCCUUCCGCCUAGGGGAAAGUCCCCGGACCUUGGGCAGAGAGUGCCGCGUGUACAUGCACGUAGACCUCUCCCGCGUGUCACAGUUAGCCCGCCAAGAAGCGACCCGUCCUCUGCGGGGCAGCCGAGCGGCGUGCUGCGGGCCGUCCUCCGUCAGCUCUCAUAGUUACGCAGGCAGUGCGACCACACGCACCAACCGCACGGGGCUCAUUCUCAGCGCGGC